rnacentral:lncRNA from 1 species
GGAGUCAAGCGUCGCCACCGUUGCAGGAGAGGGCACUUGGCAGCUGAGAAGACUUGCACUGUGGGUGUCACGGGCGUUGUAGGCGACGAGACAGGUCUUGUGCACGUGGAGACGGGCGAUGAGACUGGCGACAGGGGCUUACGCAUGGAGACUGGAGAGGAAGUCUCUGUCCGGGGCAUCACCAACAUCCGGGGCGUGGAGACUGGCGUCACAGACGUCGGGGGCGUGGAGAGGGGCGAGGAGAUUGGCAGUGGGGUUUGACCAGCGAGGUGAGGAGACAGGAGCGGAGAGCAGCCUUGGGGUGUUGGUGGCGUGGAGUCGAGGGAGGAGACUGGUAUCGGAGGCAUAGAGAUGAGCGAAAAGAUGCCAGACGAGGGUGUCGAGGGCAUGGGGGGCGUGGAGACCGGUGGGGAGACCCGCGUCCCGGACGUUGCAGCGGUCUGGGGUGGGGAGAUGGCCGAGGAGAGCUGCGUUCCAGGCGUGGAGACCGGAGAUGCGGGCAUCUGAAGCGUGGAGAUCCAAAAGGAGACCGUGUCUCGGGUGUUGCAGGUGCGGAGACUGGCGUGCGGGGAGUGGAGAUUGGCUUGGAGACAUGCGUCCCAGGAGUCGUGGGCAUUGAAGGUGAGGAGACCCGUGACACUUGCGUGGAGACCCGGGAGGGGACUUGCGUCGUGGGCGUUGUGGGCAUGGAGAGGGGCCGGAAGACUGACAGUGAGGGCUUGGCGGGUGAGGAGAUGCGAGAGGAGACACGCAUCUUAGGCGUGGAGUCCAGGGAAGAGACUGGUCGGCAAGGAGACCUGCAUGACAGGUGUGGAGACGAGAUGCGAGCAUGGGGAGCGUGAGGAUCCGAGGGGAGACCUGUGCCUCAGAUCUUGGGGGUGUCGAGGGAGAGAAGACUGGCAGUGGGAGCUUAGCAGGAGAGGAGAUGGGAGAGGGGACCCGCGUCUCAGGCGUGGAAACAAAGAGGAGACUGGCAUUACAGACUUUCGAGAUGUGGAGACGCAGAGACCCAUAAAGGGCCCAGCUUUGCGGGCGAGGAGACCUGCAUAGCAGACGAGGGGGCCUCGGAGGUGUUGGGAGAGACAACAGCAGAGACUGUGGUCAACAUGUCCGCCUUCUCCACUCUGGCCCAUUCCUCCUGACUUUGAUGGGGUUGACGUAUCCUGCUCUGGUUCUUCUGUUCUGGGACCAAAUC